rnacentral:lncRNA from 1 species
CAACAAAUCAAAUAACAGAAGCAAUUGGCAAUAAUAUAAAGAUUGUCAAUUCUCUAUGUGGAUGAGUAUCGCAAAGACUACUAUUUUUCAGUAAAUUAAAAAAGUUGGAGCAUUACUUGAGAUUUGUUCAUGUCAUUGAGUGAGAUGUUCGAUGCCAAUUAGCUUUAAACCCAACCUCAUCCAAUCAAAGAUCUCAAAACAGUUUGCAUGUUGUCCC